AACAUGAACUCUUUAAAGUUAAUUAUUCAAGUAAGGCAUGUGGAGAGUUCAGCUUCCAGCAAUAGGUGAUUAGCUUGUUUUGCACCACCCUUCUGCUGAGAAAACUAGAAAAGUCAGAACAUGUGUUAUCUAUUAAGACAUCAGAGAACUACCAAGAAAGCAGACACAUGUGAUCUAAAUUGGGUGCCAUUUUUCCCCACCUCAAAGCACUUGUUCAUUCAAGGGUAGUGACUGGGAAGCUGUGCAGAAUUUUUGGAAGACCCAUAGGUAACAAAAAUUAGAGUCCAGGAUGAUCUGAGUGGAAACGCUUUUUAAAUACCCCAGCUUUCUGUCAGGACCCAAAAGGGCUACCUACCCCUUGAGUACACAAAAUGGAAACGGGCCUGUUCUCACAGGGACUGAAGCCUAGUCUCAAAUCACUUCAGCCCCUAAAUGAAUGAGGCAAUUUGCACCAAACCUAGUAACAGCCAGAAGCUAAAAUAAAUCCCCACCCAAGGAGGAUAACAUUAUGCAGUUUCCCAAAUUUUUUAAUAGUUGUUUUUGAAAUCUGUUCAUUAAUAAAAAAUAGGAAUACAAUAAAAAGUAGGAUACUUUAAAGUAGAAUACAAUAUAAACUAGGAAUACAAUAAAAAGUAAGUAGGAAUUAAUAAAAAAUAACUAGGAAUAGAAAAAACAGGAUUUGACUAAAGUGAGAAAGUAAAUAGAAACAGACCCUCAGAAAAUUCAGAUAUUUAGCAUUAUCUGAACUUAACAAUAGCUAUGGUUAAAAUGCCCAAGAAAUUUGAGGCGUCUGGGUGGCUUAGUGGGUUAAGCAUCCCACUUUUGAUUUUGGGCUCGGGCCAUGAUCUCGGUUUUGGAGAGAUUGAGCCGGGCGCCCAGUUCUGUGCUAACAGCGCCCUGCCUGCUUGGGAUUCUCUGUCUCUGCCCACCCGCCUCUCUCCAAAUAAAAUUGCUCAAGGAAUCACAGCUUCCCUCCCAAGAUGGCGGCGUGCAAGGACCCUGAACUCGCCAAGCGCUCCGGGGAACAUGCCAAAUGACACCUAUUUAGUGAGCAAUUCCUUCAGAGGAAGAACCGAGGACCACCUGAACAGCCCCUGCACAACAAAAGAUAGAAGGCCAAAGAGAACAGCAGGAGAGAUGGAGACAAGCUGGAAAGCCCAGCAGUUGGCAGAGCUGCUGUGAAAGAGCGUGUGCCAGAGUCUCUGUUCUAAGCACUCCGCAGUGUGGCUGCUGGAUUUCACAGUGUGUCUGACUUGUUGGAUAAAUGUUAUCAUACCUCUCAUGAACUGCCUCUUCCAUUUCAAUGACAACCUUGGUUGCCAUGGAAAUUAUGCACAAGGAGCUAGAGGAGUGUGAGAGGGAAUACGUGUCUAUUGGGGCCUAAUGUGAACCCAGUGCUCACCCAGGCUUUCCGGUCGCUAAGGUUUUCUCAUGAAGGCAGAAGACUCGUGGACGAAAAAGUCAGUUUCUAAGAAGAUGGCUAAGCAUGCCUUCCCUACUCCUCCUUUUCCCACCGAAAGGCCAAACUACCCUUCAGUACUGUGGUCUUCAGAUGCCUUCCAAUUCUUCCUCUUUGGAAGGCUGCCAGAUGGACAAAGAAAGAAAGAUACAAGAAGGAGGUAAAAAUGUCCAUAAUGAACCCACACAUCUUGAGGAAACCUCUAAUCUAAUGAGAAUGGAUUUUAUUGAGAAGAUUGUACAUGAACAAUUAAUUAUUCAUGGCAGAGACGUCAUUAGGAUUUCAUUUUGUUUAAAGGCCUCUAAGUGACUUACGCAAUUGGGUUAAGCUGGAGAAGAAUUUCAAGAAUGAGACAAGGGAAAGCUUUUCAUAGUAUUGACUUUUCCUAAUAUUUUCGAGAUAGUUACUCUGACUUGGCAUAUAAAUGACACUCCAACUAAAAACCUCCAGUGGUUUGCCUGGGCAAGGGUGUCUGCAUGGGUGGAUCCUGGACCAGUAUGGUCAGAUGGAAGCAGAUUGACAGAGCUUUCUCAAAGGAUUAGGAAACAUUCCAGAAUUCAAUAAUAGUUCAAGUUGGCUUUUUGGUGGUUACUUUGGGAGUGUGAAGAGUCUCCCUGAAGUAAAAAUGAGGUUUGUGUAAUCUGUGAUAUUCACAUUCAAUGAUUCCUUCCCCAGGGCUUUAUGGGAGGCGAGCACCUGUUCAUUUAUGCUAAGUGUGAAGUAAGAUACUUUAACAAAAACCCUAGAGAUCUGGAGUAUUAUAGGUCCUGUUGUCUGCUUAUGUUAAAGGCAAACAUGAGAACUUAGUGUCAGGUUGAGACUUUAAUGUGGGAUUGAUUGUAAGCAUGGAGUUAGACAUAUAGGGUAAAUUUAUAGAGAGGUAUUGCAUAUGGGAUCAAUUUCAAUGGGUACUUAAGAAAUAUAAGUUGAAUGAAUUCAGAAGUUUUUGUCUGUUUUGUCUAUUUGUAUCCCCAGCACCCAGGACAAUAUCUUGCACACAGUAGGUGCUCAAUAAGCAUUAGUUGUUGAAAAAUUCUGAGGUCGAAAUAGUAAAUCAGGGCACGUCCGUGUGGGUAACAUCAUGUCAAUGAAGGAUCACAGUUGCAGAGAAGGGUUGGUAAAAGGAAUAAUCUUCUCCCCGUUUGGGGGCGAAAUAUCCCUGUACCACCUUCAGGAUAAUGAAGUGUUAGAGUUGAGCACCCCAGGCUUUUGGGGGUAGAGUGGUAAAUAUGCAGAUGUGGAGUAGGAAGCCCUGGGGUUGAGGUGUUAGCUGGGUCCUGGGCCGACAACCACAGCAGUGGCUGUAGCCGCCAGAUGCAAAGAUCUUCACGUUGCAAUAGGAGGGAAAGAAUCAAUAAACAAUAAAUGCAACAGAUAAGUGGAUUAAAUACUAGAAGGUCAUAUGUGCUACAGAAAAAAUUAAGUAGGGCUAUGCCUAAUAUGAUUUCACGUACAAAACCCUUCUUUCUGCAUUUUCAGAAACCUGUUAAAUGGAAAACCAAGAUAUUCCCUUAUCUUUAUGCAUUUCCAGCAACAAAUUAUUAUAACUGCUGCUUAGUUGAUGAUGAUAUCAAGCCAAAAUGUCCAUGGCUUUUAUACAAUGGUGGUUCUAAUUUUUCAACAGCAGGGAAAUUCUCUGAGCGGCUCCCUUAUUUUAAUAUCACAACGAACAACCUUGUGUAUGUGUUUAUCUAUCUCAGCCUCUCUGUACCUCUGUGUCACAUAGAGUGGCAAGAUGGCAUGUUGCCUUCUUCUCUUGACACAUACCACAGCCAGAAUUCCAUGGCACCAUUUACACAUUUUGCAGUUAAAUGUUUGGGCCUUGAGAACAGGCCUUCCUCUCUUGAAAUCAAAUACUUUGCUUUCAACACUGCUUCCUUCAUGCGGUGAAGAGAAGUCUCACCCCUGAGCUUGGCCCCAGGGCCCUGAGCCUGAGCACUGGGACAAAGCAGAGGCCGGGAUAGAAGGAAAUGUUUCUUUUGUCAGCUUAGUUCACAGCCAAAAGGAGAGAAUUUGUUUUCCCACCAGCCAGUCACAACAGACGGUAUGGGAAGGGAGACCAGUGUUUGUGAUGGAGUCUCAAGACUGUUCUACACUGACCUGGUUUCUUUUCGCUUAUUAGUAACUUGCUGCAAAAGUCCUAAGAAUUUUAGGAUUCUGGUACCCAGUAGUUUACAGUAAAGAUUUGGGCUUUUGUUUUCUUGAUCCUUUGUUUGGGAAAGAUCGAAUUAGCUGAGCUGCCUUUCUUCCUUCAUCUCUACCCCAUACAAUCCUUCCCACUUUUUGUGUUUUAGUAUGAAGUUAGCUGUAGUUCCCCCCCCCCCCUUCUUUAUUCAUUCAAAUCAAGGGAACACAUUAGUCAGAUAGUCAGAGGGCUGAACACAAAAUCUCUUUUCUCUGAACCACAACAGAAUAAGCUAGAAGCUUCACGCUUGUUUCCUUCACCAAUGUCAUUCCAUUAUUGCCAGAAAGAAAAUGCAUGGUGAUACCUGGAUGGAAAGGGGAUCAGUGCGAUAUGGAUUCUUUGGAAAUGUGUGAGUGGUGUGCAUUAGAUGCUGGUUUCCAUCUCAUGUCCCUUUUGUUUGUAUGCACUGUAAGUGAGUCACUUGCAGAAGUCCUGGGGGAGGAGGACUCUGCCAGGGGCUCUAAAUGCUACUUUCACUUGAGGAUUACUAUGAGGCAUGGGGCCAAAGUUCCAUCUUCUAACUCUGAGGUUCUUUAAUCUGUGGGAGAAAAAGGAAAAUUAACCAAAACAAUGGUGCCGUUUUCAUUUCUGCCCUGCGAAAAAUGAUGUCAGCCAAACUUGCACUAAAGGUUAAGCCAGGCUGACCUGCCAAAACACCAUGACAGCAGUUGGCAAGUAGGCGCACAGUGGGCUGAAUGUGCCCAUUUUUUGGAUACUAAAUUCCAGUUCCAUCCCAGGUAUACUUGGCUUCUGCCACUGGCUUGGCCUCACGGCAUCAACCCGACUUUUGCUGCAUGGAUUUUGUGUUUGAGUUUUGUUUCCUCAGUUUUGACUCUCAGAUGGCCUAGGAACUCAACUUCUGAACUUCUUCCUCUCCUGAUUGCUUCGGGUAGACUGAACCUACAGGCUGAGGAUCAAAUACCCACCAGGUCUCUGGUCAGGCCACCUUAGUUGCCUGAAUAUUUAGAUUUCAAGCAACAAGAGCAAUGCUGAUUCCCAGCCACCAUGACUAUGGUCAUCAAGAAGAUACACUGCAUGCUGAGAAGUCUUCUUCCUUGUCUGCAGUCUGAGGCUGCAGAUUCCAGACUUCUUUUCAAGUUUGAAAACCAACCUGUAGGUUGGAAGGGUCAUCAUUUGCUUAGAAGUGAGAUCAAAAUUUUCUUACCCCCUGUGGUAGGCAGAAUAGUGGCUCUCCAAAAAUGUCCACUGCUGAAUCGCCAGAACCUCUGACUAUGUUAUGUUACAUAGCAAGGGAGAAUUAAGGUUGCAGAAAGAAUUAAGUUGCCAAUCAGCUGACCUUAAAAUUAGGACGUUAUUCUGGGUUAUGGAAGUGAGCUUGAUACACUCUUAAAAGGAAGAGGGAGGCAGAGAAGGAGGUGGGAACCGGAGAGAGAUUUGAAAAUGAUGAGCUAUUGGCUUUGACGAUGGGGGGAGAGGCCAUGAGUCAAGAAAUGUAGAAAUGUAGGUAGGUAUCUUACGUGUUGGACUCUGUAGAAGCUAGAAAAGACAAGGAAGUGGAUUUUUUCCUAGAGUCUCAAGAUGGAACACAGCCCUGCUGACAUCUUGAUUUUGGUCCAGUGAGAUCCACUUCUGACUUCUAUCCUCCAUUUACUUAAGAUCAUAAGUUUGUGCGUUUUAGGCCACAGUUUGUGGUAAACGAUUAUGGCAGCAAUAGGGAAUGAAUACAGAAAAACAUCUUUUAAUUUCAUGAUGAAUUUUUAUAACCUAAAAAAUAUCCAUUCUUGGACAUGUAAGGUUAAAAAAUGCCAGUUAAAAUGCCUGGACUACUGAAUAUAAAUACAGCUUUGUGCACGUCCUUAAUUAAAUCCGUAACUCAAAAGCUUAAAUAUGAAAGUCCUUUCUCAAAGUGUAUGGACGUUUGAGACUUUUGAGACAAUUGUUCUAAUAAAAUGCACAAUCUCUCCAGAAGUGUGUGGAGUGCUACUUCUGUGAGCCCUUGCCAGUACUGUGAAUUUCUAUUUUUAAAUCUUUGCCAAUUGUUAGAUGAAAAAUCGCUUCUCCCGUAUAUAAUAAAUAUUCAUUGCGGAGUCACUCUGUGCCAAGCACUACCCUGUGAGCAACAUGUUACUUUAAUUUGAAAAUGUGGAGUUGCUUGUUGAUACUGAACACUUUUUCAUAAACUCAGUAUUGUGUAUACAUAUAUAUUUCCUGUUUGUAAAGUGCCUCCUGGCUGUGGUGAGACAAAGGGACUGUGGGAGGGGGCUGGGGCCACAGCUGAGGUCCACGGGCUGGGGCAAUAGAGCAGGUGGUGCCUGAGGAUGGCUGGGCUUGGUAUAUGCAGUGGAGGUGAGGAAGGGUCAGGUUUGGGACGUCCUGUGAGGUGCAGCUAACAAGGCCUGCUGAGGGAUUGCUCAGAGGCUGUCAGGGAAGGAAAAAACUCACAGAGUUGGUGUGUCAAAUAAAGACAACCUUGUGCAAAUUCCUUCUGACACGUAUCUAGUGAGUGAUCAUUGCUCUUUCUGUUUCUAAUUUCUUCUGUUUCCCCUGUCUUUGGAUUAUUUUUGGGUUGGAGGACUCAGUGUAGCUCUUGAUGUUAACGCUGUCCAGAGCCAGAGUUCCCUGAGAGCACAUCUGUAGUGGAACAGAUUUGCCUGUUGCUUGCUUCAGCAAAGCAGACCACACCACGAAGCGACUCAGGAUGUAAGCCUGUGUUAGGUGAUUUCGUGGAGUGUUUAAAGAAGCCAAGUUCUCUUCUGGAUUGGAUACUGUAAGGAAGCACAAUUAAAUCUAUGCUUGGGUAACUUAAUGCUUUUUAUCUAGGAGGUGGGAGAAAUGGAGUGAAGCCGUAGAUGAAAUUGGCAAAAAGGCAGUGGUCACUCAUGGUAGCUGAGGGAGGGAGAUAUUUGAUUAUUUUCAUGGUUUUGCCAGUAUCCUUGUUUUUGUCUGCACGCAGAAAAAAUUUCAAAGGAGUCUCACUUUUAUCUCACUGACAUGAUCCCAGCAUGACCUCAUCUGAUGGUGGCGUUCUGUGAAAUCGUUUAUCUUCAGUAGGACCUCAUGGUCUUUCUGUUAGUGCCGGCUGUGGACUUUCAGAGAUUUAUUUUUCGAAAUUCUCAUUCUGGUCAAGGGUGGAUAAAAUGAGGCCAUAGGACAUUAAUUCACAAUACUGAGAUUUUCACCAUUAUUUCGAUUCUGCUUGUCGAGAGAUUGUCCGGAAAACACUAUUUGUACUUAGGCAAAUUAGUACCUCUUGUUCCUUUUAUUGCAGGAUUCAUUGCUGAAUGAUCUGACCUGACAGGGUGCAUUUUUGUCUCUGUACAGAAUGCGCCAGUCAAGUGGGAUACAGGCAAUUAUGAAAGACAAAAUUAGUCUUUGUAAUAAGCUGUAAAGUCAGGGCCAGAUGACUAAUCCCAGGCUAGGAAAACAUGCCCCAAAGUCCAGGUGGGUCUGCUCUAGGGAUCCAAGUCAUGCUUCUUUUUUUUUUAGUCUAAUUAUAGACCUUUCUAUUUCUCCAAUUGUAUUUAAAUUGUUGUACCAAUUGUUGGUAAAUUAAGGGGCUUUUACCUUAGCAUAAAUUGCCCCUUAGCUAGGAAACUUAACAAGGUUUCUUGGUCUUUCAGAGUAGAGAUAAUAUGUACAUAAAAGUAAUAUUGUAAGGGGCACGGACCUUAUUGAAUAAUAAAAACCUACUUCUAGUUUUACUCAUUUUAUGAAUUAUUCAUAUAACAUUUUACAAUGUA